GCCUUCUCUGUCUCUACUAACCAGUACUCAGCAUCUUCAAAAGAUGAUCCCCCUACAAAAGUAAAUGGGUUUAAUCUCUUAUACCUCUCUAUGUAGCUUGGGUCAAUCAUGGGAGGAAUUGGGUCCUGUGGAAGAGGGAUUGGGCCAUGCUGAGGAUAGACUGUGUGGCCCUACGGUGGUACUUGCUGAUACGAUGGGGGC
rnacentral:lncRNA from 1 species